rnacentral:misc_RNA from 1 species
AAACAAUGUCUACAGGCAAAGAACGAAGACGAAUUUGAAUUUUCCUACUCUCCCCCGACCAGUAUAAAUAAGCAGACACGAUCGCGAGCGAGACAGUAUCGAACAGUUCGUAUAGAGUAUCAACGAGUAUUAACGAGUAUCUCCGAGAUUUUUAUUGUAUCAAAGACUCUCUGAGGAUCGAGCCGUGGCGAACCCGACGUUAAGUCGUCGAAGAAUGCAGUUUAGUCCCAUAAAAGGAUGCUGGGAUGCCAACGCAUGUCAGGCUAGUCUGGCAGGUACACGCAGGUCAGUUUGUGGCUAUGCUUUCAACGAGGCCCCUCGUGAUUGCUACGUUUACGUUAAUUAAAAACAAGAUAUUAUCUUGGCAACAUCUUUGGUGGUUCAUUGACAUCGUUUGGGAAUUGCGAGAAAGGAAUGAAGAGAAUCACGCGAUAAAAAGUUAAACGCGCACAAGCAAGUGAAAAGAGAAAAAAUAUCGAGUUUUGUCGCUCUAUAGGUGGAAUUUUAUUUGUGACUUUUGGAACUCCUCGCUUUGAUAUGGAAUACAGAAAUCAAUAAUCGCGAUGGACAGAUUGCUUCGUAUCAAUACGAUGAUAUAGCAGUGAAACGCAGUAGUAUAAUAGUAGCAGACAGACUGUUCAACUAUAUGUAUUUAUAAAAGAACUAAAUACGUAAAAAUAUAUAAAAUUUCCAAAGUACAAUUUUUGUUAUAACAUUCAGAGACCCAGACAAAUCUCUGUUUAUCGUUAGCAGAGACUCUACUUCUUUAUUUGUUUAUAAAAAUAAAUUUCACAAGAUUUUAAAAUUUGAUUUCGAACAGACGAAUAAAACAAGAUUUAAAAAACAUAUAUUCCUACAAUAAACACGUUAUUUUUAAUAACUGUAACUUACUAAUCCC